rnacentral:rRNA from 1 species
CCUACGGGAGGCAGCAGUGGGGAACAUUCGGCAAUGGGCGCAAGCCUGACCCAGCAACGCCGCGUGAAGGAAGAAGGCUUUCGGGUUGUAAACUUCUUUUAAGAGGGAAGAGCAGAAGACGGUACCUCUUGAAUAACCCAUGGCUAACUACUUGCCAGCAGCCGCGGUAAUACGGAGGUGGCAAGCGUUGUCCGGAUUUACUGGGUGUAAAGGGCGUGUAGCCGGGCUGACAAGUCAGAUGUGAAAUCCCGUGGCUCAACCACUGAACUGCAUUUGAAACUGUCGGUCUUGAGUAUCGGAGAGGCGGGCGGAAUUCCUAGUGUAGCGGUGAAAUGCGUAGAUAUUAGGAGGAACACCAGUGGCGAAGGCGGCCUGCUGGACGAUAACUGACGGUGAGGCGCGAAAGCGUGGGGAGCAAACAGGAUUAGAUACCCGGGUAGUC